rnacentral:lncRNA from 1 species
AUAAAUAACGGGCGCAUUCUAGUCAUUUUCUUUGCUUAACAAUAACCAAUAGCAAAUAUUUCCAUAACACCAAAGUUUCUCUUUAAGAAAUGUCUCAAUGACCCCUUGCCGUCCCAAGGUGCGAUCGCGGAAUCAAAAGCAUGAUGUAUGAUUGUUGGGAAGAAGCUGGGCGCUGCUACUGGACGUGUAUAAACAAGUUUUAUAGGCAACCCGAC